GACCAUUCUUUUCGUUGUAGGGAAUUUUGCGAGUAGUAAGCAAAUAUGUGCUAUAGGCAGUAGCGAUCGAAUGUGGUGUGCGAAGGAGUGCGAAAUGGAGAAUGGACAAGACAAGAGGAGAAUAUGCAAGGAAAAGAAUUCUUUGGGGUGGAAGGAGCAAAAAAAAAGGAAAUCGAAAUCGGAACGGUAUUGAGUUACUUGGAUAAUGAAAGAUUCUUGAUUAAUUGACGGAUAGCGAUCCAAACGCUAAUCCCAACAUAUUCACCCUUGUCGCCUAUACUAAAAGUUCGGAUGUAAUUCUCACCUGAGGGAUGAAAUGUUCACUAAACGACUCGGGUGUAAAUUCAUGAAACAUCCGCUUGGAACCACAAUUCUCCAGUUUGAAAUGAUCAGCUUGCGGCAACCAUAGAUGAAAAGACACUAGAAAAAACAUAUGUCUAGUCAAUUAUGCCUGUGGCAGAAAAUUGGUUUGCCCUGAUGUACUUUGUUUCGGCAGUCGAGGGGAAUCAUGAUGGAUGGAGGGGCGAUGUCAGGUUACUAAAAGGAAACCAUUAAUUUUAAAAAAGGUAUUCAACUAUUUCGAAAAGGAAGUGGUUCCGCUGUUGUUGUGUGUUGAGAAGAGGAAUUGAUGUUGAUUGUUCCAAUUCGAGCAGAAAAGAAUGGGCAAAUUAACUUUGUACCAUAAAUGCUUAAACCUUACAAGCUCUUUUUUUAAUACCGUUAUUUUGUCUUGGGUAUACAAAUCAAAUGAACAAUAAUCUCUACCACCUAGCAAAAUGUAGACGAAGCGAAUUGAGAAUGCAUUCUCUACCUGCUGGAAGCGAAAUAGUCUGUUUCCCAACUUACAGCGAAGUUGCCGUUACUUUCACUAAAAUCAUACAGUGAAGAAUUCCGUAACAAGUUUAACUGCGUUAAAACAAUUUAUCAAGAGGUAACGCAUCUCGCAUUUCUGUACAGCUAAAAAUAGGCUUGUCUUGAACUUGAAAAGUGUGAUAGAGUUUGUUAGACUCUGUUAGACCAAUAGAAAUAAAUUUGUCAACUUCCGUUCGCAGUCUAUCAGAUUACAUAGUAAUUUGUUAAGACUUGUUAGAUUCCUUUAAACCUAAAGACACCGCGGUUAUCUGUUAGAUUUCGGUAGACUCCUUUAAAUCCUGUAAGGCUGCGUUAAUGUCUGUUAUACGUCUGUAGAAUUCCUUUAACUCAUAUAAAGCGACUUUAUUCUCUGCUAUCCCUUGUUAGACUCCCUUAAACUUUCUAGUGCACCGUUAUUUUCUCUUAUUGUUAGACUCUCUUACACCUUAUGAAUUCGUGUACCGCCCGUCUCGGUGAACAAUUUUACGAGUUGCUGCGUAAUCGGAUCGUGUUGAGAAUACUGUGGAUAUUGGGAUAUUGGUCUGGGAAAUGAAUGGAUUGAUCGUCGUUGGCCAGACAAACAUACAAGACGAUUCCUUUUUCAAAAGAGCAAUUUGCAAUCUUUCUAUUUUCAUGUGGCAAAGAUUGUUUGCUCAAACCACUAUUGAUAGUCCAGAGUGACAUCUAUUCAAGAUUGAUCAUCUCUAUUCACCAUUGCUUCAUUACUCCAUCUUUUUGGCUUGCUAAGGAUUUGCUCUCAACGGCAACGCAGUACCAAUCAAUCAAAAUAUACCUUUGCAAAUGCUAAAAUUCUAAAAAAAAAAAAAAAGAAAAAAAAAUGUCGAUAGAAUAGACAGCAUGUCAUGUUUAUGAGUGUUAUGGUUUGCUACUCUUGGUCGAAUUUUGACAUCUUAAAUUAAUAAAAAAAACUCUUGGCAUUUAUCGCACCAGCGCUUCAUCGAUACCGUCACUGAACCAAUCCUUUUCAAGGGGUCACUCAUUCUAAAUACAUUCUCUUACAAGUGUAAUAACACAUAAGCUAAUCAUGUGUCGUUUAUUUUAAACUUUCUUGCAGCUUCUGCUUCACUGUUUCGAUCACUUGGCGCAAUGCUUAUGGAGGUAAUGUAUUAAAUUGCUUCUUUUCACCGAGGCAAGACGAUUUGCAAAAGUGUUGGCAUAUGCAGACGUAUACUUGUAUUGUCUGUAGCUUUAAGAGAGAUUUGUGUUCUAGAAUUUUUCUAACACACUACUGCAAUGGCGACAAGGUACAUAGAUAAUGUGUUGUGUAUUGGUAGUAGAACGAAAUUGUGUUGAAUUUAUUUUUGAGAAAAUAAUAUUAUAUUAUAUCUUCGUUUUUCCGAAUUCGGUUCCCUUCUAACAAUUUCUCGCUUAUGAUUAGUCCUUGAUAUUCAGGAAAUAUUUAAAAAAAAAAUAUCGGAUUAAUCAAUAUAUCUUCAAACAAUUGGUGGUGAAUAAGUUCGUAACUCUUUACAUCAUGACUCCAGCUGGAUAUGCAGGCUUUGGAUAAUGAACGUAAACUUAAUAGCGAAUGGCAUAGCACUUUUGUCUUAGAGGUUAUGGAAGGGUGACAAAAUUCACAUGCGUCUUGACCGAACCAUUCUGUAAAAAUAGUAUAUAUAGUAGUGGGUCAAGCGCAUUUUUAUUUCAUGAACUUAAGCGUAUUUGUCUAUCAUUGAUACAUUAUCUGGAGUAUUCUACGCUAAGGAAAACACAUAUUUAAAAAAGCGGUUUAGACACUUAUUCGUAUAUCAAUAUGACUACUGGAAAACCUCAAUCUUUCGAAAAAAUGCGCACUCCAUUUCCUGGAAGAUCUAAAGCCAAAGGGCCGCAGAGCGAUAUUAUCCCAAGUGCUCCCCCAAAUACUCCUGUAACAGAGCAUUAAAAGGAAGCGCUAGACGACUUGACUGGUCUUUACUUAAUUCGAUUUGGGAAUUAUUAAGGACGGCUGAUUCAGCGCAACGAUAUACUGAAUUGGAAACAAUUGUGUUUUGCCAAACGCGUUACCAAUCAAUCUCUGGAGGUUUGAUUUGAACGAAACCCAAUUCUUCUUUAUUUGUUUUAAACGAUUUUACGAAUUCAACAUUUUCUUCCUUUCAAAAUUUUGUUCUAGAAUUUUUCUUCAUGUGAAAAAUAUGUUUUUUUAUUAUUACUACUAUUAAUUAAAUGACACAUGAUAGAUGCUUGUUAAUAAGCCACAAAUGUGCCACGAAUUUUAUUUAUUUCUUUCUUUUCUUAUACAGUCAAUAUUCAAUACAGGCUUGUUUGGACUGCCGUAUAUAAAUAGCGAACUGGUUUCCUGGUAGCUAAAGAGUGUAUUAGAUAUCGAAUGAAUUGCCUUGAGUAAAGAGAGUUUCACUUUUCAAUUCAAUGUAAAGCAGAGCAACUCCGAAAAUGAAUA
rnacentral:lncRNA from 1 species